rnacentral:misc_RNA from 1 species
GAAAUGCGAUAAGUAAUGUGAAUUGCAGAAUUUAGUGAAUCAUCGAAUCUUUGAACGCACAUUGCGCCCCUUGGUAUUCCGAGGGGCAUGCCUGUUCGAGCGUCAUAACACCCCCUCCAGCUGCCGUUGUGUGGCUGCGGUGUUGGGGCUCGUCGCGAUGCGGCGGCCCUUAAAGACAGUGGCGGUCCCGGCGUGGGCUCUACGCGUAGUAACUUGCUUCUCGCGACAGAGUGACGCCCGGUGGCUUGCCAGAACAACCCCUAUUUGGGUCCAGUCGCAUGGAUCACAGGUUGACCUCGAAUCAGGUAGGAAUACCCGCUGAACUUAA